rnacentral:lncRNA from 1 species
ACAGCAAGCCCUACGACCACCCACAGGCCCACCACAACCAGCCACAGGCCCACCACAACCAGCCACAGGCCCACCACCACCAGCCACAGGCCCACCACCACCAGCCACAGGCCCACCACCACCAGCCACAGGCCCACCACCACCAGUCAUGGGAAUGCCACAGUUUCUCCCACCACAAACAGUCCAGGCUUCUCCACUGUUGGCCCUCACCCUGGACCACCUCCGCCCUCACCAAGUCCUAGUCCAAGCUCUACUGGGGCUCUUGGAAACUACACAUGGACUAAUGGUUCCCAGCCAUGUGUUCAGCUCCAAGCCCAAAUUCAAAUUCGCAUCUUGUACCUGACCCAGGGUGGAAAAAAGGCCUGGGGCCUCUCUGUAUUGAACCCGAACAAAACCAAGGUCCAGGGGGGCUGUGACAGUGCCCAUCCCCACUUGGCUCUCUCAUUCCCUUACGGACAGCUUACCUUUGGAUUCAAACAGGUAUACAGCUUGAAUUUGUCUUCCUCCUUCACUCUUCUAUAUCCCACCCCUAGACCCCCUAAGCCUCCUCCUUGCUCUAUGGACAUGGAUGCCACUGUCCCUGAUGCCUUGAGCCUUUCUGUUCACCUCAAGGACCGACAUCAGAGCCACAGUACAGUCUACCUUAACUACAUGGCAGUGGAAUACAAUGUGUCCUUCCCACAAGCAGCACGUGAGCAACCUCU